CCUCAUUACUUAACAUUUACUGAACAUCUGUGUCUCAGGAUUUUUUAUUUUUUAAUGCAAAGUGAGGUUCCAUGAAAAUCCAGGGCACCAAUCCAGACAGCGUUGUAAAGGCGUAUGCCUGUGGAGCAGGUGGUCCCCAGUCACAGCAGCCAAGUCCUGCAGGGGCUGCUCUUGCCCUGCUGUGCGGGGCCCAGCUCGGGGGCUCCUGAGGUCUGGUGUGACCUGGUCAGGGAUUUAGCCACCUGGUUGGUAGAAACAACCAUUAUUAAAAAUUAAGUUAGCCCUCAUGGAAUUCAGAGAAACUUUUUACCGUGUGAAACCAAAACUUCAGCUACUGUCAUUUUCCAACGCUCUUAGCUGGUGAUGUCAGAAGAAUCUUACAGGAAACACGCAGACGCCUGAAACCCGUAUCUUACCAUCAUCAUUCGGUACUUCUUACACAUCUGUCCACCCUUCCAUUCACCCACCGAUCUUGAUUUUUUAAAGAUCAUUUUAUUUAUUUUUGGCAGUGCUGGCUCUUGGUUGCAGAGGGCGGGGCUCCUCUCCAGUUGCGGUGCAUGGGCUUCUCGGUGCUGCGGCCCGCCUCGCUGAGGAGCACAUGCUCUGGGGCUCGGGGGCUUCAGCAGUUGCGGCCCCCAGGCUCUAGAGCACUGGCUCGGUGGUUAGGACUCCAGGCUUAGCUGCUCCACGGCAUGUGGGAUCUUCCUGGAUCAGGAUUGUGACCCCGUGUCUCCUGCAUUGGCACGUGGAUUCUUUACCCACUGAGUCACCAGGGAAGCCUCAUCUAUUACAAAAAUACUUUAAUAAAGUAAACUGCAGUCACCAGGAAACUUCCCCCUAAGAUUUUCAGCUUGCAUACAUUUUGCUAGAGGUGAAUAUUAAUUCACAGUUUGUUCCUUUGAUGUAAAAUUUACAAGGAAAUGCACACAUCUUUGGGUACAGUCUCCACUCUGCGUGACAGGCAUUCUGCCCCUGCAACCCCAAACCCAGCUGAGAUAGAACGUUACCAUCACCCCCAAAGUCUCCUUGUACCCCUUUCCAGACAAUCCCCGCUGCUAAGGAGACAGUAACUAUUGCUCUGAUCUGUAUGUUGCUGCAUAGUAUCCCUUUGUAGGGGUGUACCGGUUUAUUUUUCCUGUUGAUGAAUAUCUGGGCUGUUUCCAGUUUGGGGUUAUUAUGGAUAAAGCUGGUUAUGAGCACUCCUUUGUAUUUGCAUAGCUCUACAGAAUGACUUGAUCCUGGGCUAGAAUUCGAGUUAGGUUCCAAGAGUGCAGGAAGCAGCACAUAGUGGAAAGUACAGUAAGCCUCCUACGUGCAAACGAGCUCCAUUCUGAGAGCACAUCUAUUAAGUCCAACUUGUUCCUAAGGCCAACAGAGUUAGCCUAGGUACCAGCUACCACAGUCAGCUAUAUACUGCUGCUUUUACAUCUGCUUCUGGACACCCUGGGCUUGAAAUGAAGAUACUGUGCUGCUUUACUUUGGACAACACCGUACAGCAAGUACACAGCACAGCCACUUGCAGCGGACGCACGCGGGUGACGGCGCACACCAGACACGAGAGCGCGGCGGACGCACGCGGGUGACGGCGCACACCAGACACGAGAGCGCGGCGGACGCACGCGGGUGGCGGCGCACACCAGACACGAGAGCUGACAGGCAACUGGACGUGAGAGUGCAACUUCACAUCUGUGAAAAUUCAAAACUUGAAGCAGUGCCAGUUCUGGGACUGUACCCCCGAAGAAUUGAAGGCAGCGUCUUGAAAAAGGAUUUGUACAUCCAGAUUAUAGCAGCCUUAUUCAUGGUGGCCAAAGGGUGGAGGCAGCCUGAGUGUUCACUGGCGUCUGAAGGAUGCACAGCUCAUGUUUAUGGUACACACAGAAAUCACCUGGAUGCCCACUGGCAGACGAGUGGAUAAAGGACAUGUGCGCAUCUGUGCAAUGGAAUAUUACUCAUCCAGAAAAAAAGAACGAAACGAUGCCAAGUGCAGCACCACGGAUGGACCUCGGGAUUAUUGUGCUAAGUGAAGUCAGAGAAAGACAAACACCCAUAUCACAUGUGGAUUCUAAACUACGACACAAACGAAGCUACCUAUGACAUGGAAAUAGAC
ensembl:lncRNA